rnacentral:tRNA from 2 species
GCCGGUGUGGCGAAAUUGGUAGACGCAGCGGAUUCAAAAUCCGCCGGGCUAAUACCCCGUGUCGGUUCGAGUCCGACCACCGGCA